AGUGGCGGCGGGCCCGCGCGGUGCCGGCGACUAGCAGCGAGAUGUCCUGGCCCCUUCCAGGUUUGGCUUCGAACAAGUUCCUUUCUUCGGACGUCAACCGACCUACCAGAGUUUAUUCCUUAGGAAUGUUACACUUUCCCAAUUCUGUCCACGUUGUAAAUUCCUGGCCACCUUCUUUGGGGGACGGCGACGAAUCUGCCUAAGUGUGGAAAUCGAUGCGGGUCCUGAAGGCUUGAGCUUUAAAGAGUAUUCUAGUUCCCAGGAGCACUCAAGUUAAGCAUAGCAGCCCCCCCUCCCCCAAGCUUAACCCAAACAUCUCAAAGUGGUGCCACUUCUGCUCUUAUUUGGGGGAGGUGCUAGGAAAGCCCAUUUGAUCAAACUUGGAAGGACCCUGCAGCCAAAUCUAGAUGGAAUUUCAGAAUCUGUCUUUAGAGUUAUUUCAUCUAUGAGCCUAGCAGAUCUUCUACAGGGCUAAAUUAGGAGAAAAGUGUGCAGAAACGCGGUUGGACUGGCAGUGAAUCCGCAUCCACUAACACAAUACCCUUUUCCAGCGAAGAGAGAAGAAGCUGUUACGAAUCUAGCUUUUGUUUGAUGAGGUUGUUGGGUUUUUAUAGGGCUGUGCCAAUGACCCCUUUUCUCUCUCUUGCACCACCUGGCAACCCCGAAACUCAUCAGCAGCUCUGGCCUUCCCACCCGCAUGAUCUUUGCUUUGUAAAUCCAACCCGCCACGGCCUGCUUCACACGCCUUCUUAGAGAUUUGCUCCCACCCCACCCCCGACCUCUGAGUGCGGGACCUCUAAAGCAUUCUCGGUACCCCUGUCCACAUACCCAUUCCCAUGGAGCGGCUGUGGACCAAAGUAGUGCAGCCAAUAGUUCUCAAGCAUAAAUCCCUCUCCUGGUCCUUCCUAGGCUUAGACUCAGGGCUGAUCAGGGUAAGAAGGCGACCUUCCCACCUAAAGGGCAGGUUUGGACUGAGCGCCGGCGAUUUUCCUGCGAGCCCAACACUUCCUAGAACAAGUCGAUUAAUACCCAGAAUUCAGACACCCCAGGAAGAGCCAAGUGAGGAGCGCGAGAUCCUGUUAUCCCGAAGACACCCAAGCGGCUGCCAAAAAGAAGGGGCCGUUGGUCCCUUUGCUCUCCAUUUCCAGCUGUUCCAGAACUAGCUGCUAUCUCUCUGGACUCACCAGCCCCUCUAGGAAAUCUGGAGAAUGGAGAGAGCAAGGUGUAGCUGAUUAGCAAGUUAAUUAUUUCAGUACCCCAAGGGUUCAUGCGUGGUGGAGAUGGCCUUGGGAGAGCAACCUCCGGACCUCAGCAGUGUGAGGAUGACAACAGUACCCUGUGGUGCUGUCCCCACUCAGGGUUUCUCUCUGUAGCCCCGACUGUCCUGGAACUCACUCUGCAGACCAGGCUGUCCUCAAGCUCAGAGAUCUACCUGCCUCUGCCUCUGAAGUACUGGGAUUAAAGAUGCAGAGGCCUCCCAGAGAAGUGUGAAGGAAUGGGCCUUAACCAGGGUUGAAGAAAGAAAGUGAAGAAGGGGAGAGCCCAAGGAAAGGUGGGGACAGUUGGAACUUUUGUUUACACUGGUCUACUACUCAUGUAUCGUAUGCUAUAAUCUCCAAAUUCCACAUUUAUUGUAGCUGUCUGCAGUGUGUAUGCCCCGGCCGCAUGCUGCUUGGCUAAAAAAGUGUUAAAUAAAACUGUAAGAAACGCUA
rnacentral:lncRNA from 1 species